ACGACUAUACCAUGCUGAAUAUACCGGUACUUCGUUCGAUCAUCGAAGUCAAGCAUCAUCGGGUGCGGUCAGUACUUCGGAUUGUGACCACCUAGAAACACCGCGUGCAGU